rnacentral:lncRNA from 1 species
CAAGUUUUUGUGCCCAACAAGUUUUUGUGCCCAACAACACAUGUUUCUGCUAGUAUAAACUUAAUCUCCUAAUAUUUUAUAUAAAAUUCUUUAAAACUUAAAAUAUUAUUUUUUCAAUUAACUUUUUAUAACUUUCAUAUACCUAAAGAAGAAUAUCAUAAGUAGCUUAAAAAUCUAUUGAUUUUUUUUUAAUACAUAUUGUUAUAUAUUAGAAUAAUAACAUUAUCAACUAAAAGUAAUAAAAAUAGAAAUAAAACAAAAGAUUUAAACAUCAA